UUGUCAUUAAUAAAGAAAUCAAGUUAACAUAACUUCACAUUACUUAUAACACACAGUUUUGCCAUCAAAACUUAAACAGGUGUGUUUAACUUACUCAUUGGCAGUAAAAAUCUUUUGAAUUAAGAUUUUAAGUGUUAUAAACUCAGAAUUUCCAUUUAUUUAAAUUAUUCGCUACAUCUCUGUUUAAAAAUGAUUGGUCGUGCUUGAAAUUCUGCCUUGACAACAGCGCCGAUUGGCCAAUAUAACACAAGGCGGGAAUUUUUUGUCGAAUUUGCUGAAGACGCAGCACUGACUGCAGGCCAGAACGGAGUCAUUUGCAGAACCACCUGAAAGAAGAACUAAAUAAUAAAGUUAAAUAGCGGGCCAGCGGCACAAGCAGCCACACAGGCGGCGAAGCAGGCGGGAAGAGAGUCGUCGUGAAAGACUCAGAGUACGCUGGGACAGUAGCAGGCAGGCGGUUAUGAAGCAGACGAGGAGUCGUGAGGCCACAGGAGUGACGUUACGCUGAUCUACAUGGAGUUUAAUAGGAUUGCUGAGCCAAAAAGGGAGUUGCUGGUCAGCUCUUGAUGAACCUUCUGAAGCAAACAAAGCUAUCAGAGCCAACAGAAGUCCGAACUCUGGUGCUUCAAGGACUACCCCUUUGGUUUGGAGAUGACUCUACUGCUUUCUUUAAGAUAUGUUUGAUGUCUGAUGAUCACAGCUCAAUUCUUGAUGUGCCAGUGGGGAUUGUGAUAGUUGAAGAUGGGAUGACUCUUAAGCCCCUCAACUCUCUGCAUUCGUCUCCCUCC